CUCCGCAAGCAGGUUCCCUGUUAUUCCUACGGACAGAAGCUAUCCAAAUUGGCCAUCCUCAGGAUAGCAUGUAACUAUAUCCUCUCCUUGGCUAGACUGGCAGACCUGGACUACAGCGCUGACCACAGUAACAUGAGCUUCUCGGAAUGUGUGGAGCAAUGCACUAGGACCUUGCAAGCUGAAGGAAGGUCUAAAAAAAGGAAGGAAUGAUAACCAAAGGGUGGAUUGAGCAGCAAAAUCAUCCUGAUGUUCCAUCUUACCUUCUCAAAGCGCGCAUGUUCCCAUUGAAAAGAGCAGAAGGCAUCUGUCAUUAAAUUGAAGACUGGCUAUGGAAACACUCUUGGUGUGACAGUCUUUUGGAGAAGAUGAAGAUAUUUUCUUCUACUGUUUUCUUCUUAAGCCAAUCACAUGUUAGUAUGUGCAAUGUAUGGAGAGGCUUCUCCCUUUGCUACCUAGGAAAUACCAUCCCUGUAUAAUAGAGCAUUGUGAUGAUAUCACUAGUGCCAAAGAGCUGGUUGAGUUUCUGUAUUGUCAUCUCAAACCCAGAGGUUAUGAUCCAUACGUUCUGUAAGUAAAUCAGGAGAUGUGGAAAUCAUUGGUUGCUUCUGGCAAGAUGCACAUUGCACAUUGAAAUGCACUUGGCUCUGUAGAGGAAAGGGGAGGCAAAACCUGUUUAAAGUAAUGGCUGUGGAGCUAAGUCAGAAUUGGCAAACCUGUCUGUAAAUAAAUACAGUUCUCCAUAUCUGAAAGCUGAAGCACGAAAACCAUCAGGACGCAACCAGUGUUACUAUUCCACACAUUUUUUUUUCUUCACCUUUAUCAAUUCCGCUCAUUUAACAAGAGCCAGCUUUUCAGGGUGAAGAAUAGUGACAAAAAAGCUAGAACUGUUACAAGGGACGAUUUAUUUCCAUUUUUUUAAACACGCCAUUUAACCCAAUUAAUUAAAAUGUAUAUUAUACAAGGAAAGGAAGGUUAAAUAGCCAGAGUGUCUGUUAGCAGAAUAUUCCAGAAAGGUUUAUAAUGUUGCAUUUUGAAUUUUAGAAAUGUUAAAGCCCGUGUAAUGCAAAGGCAUUUGAAUACUAUGUUGUAUAUUUCACUUCAAAUUGAAGUAAAAAAAAAAAUGUAUGGAGAAACUCACUUGGAGUAAGCAAAUUUUAUAAAUAAUGCAUGUCAUAUGUAACACAUCUGCUUGUAAUGAAGAAUAUAAUUCAGUGUUACAGUAAAAUAAUACAGCCUUUUGAAGAAAAGAUUACCAUAUUUCAGUCAAAUGGCAAUGUAUAAUGGCUAUACAUUGCAGCUAAAUUUAACCUUCUGUUAUUUCAGUAUAAAUUAUUUGUGCUUCAUUUUCACUAAUGAAAUUGAUCUGAAUAGAGUUCAUCGUGCCAAUCUGUUGAGAGAUCUCACAAGUGUAUAACUCUUCUCAUUUGGAACAGCAAGAUCUUCCAAUCUUUAAGCUUAGUCCUAAAUAUUGCUGCUCUUCCUGCACUGAAAGGUGUCUACACAACUUCAGUCUUCCAGCUAAGGUGGUAAUUAUGUUCAUAAAACCUUAAACUGCAGUCCUAAAGUCCCAGCAUCCCAAGAUCUUCUUUCUCAGCCCCCAGGUAAACACCCAGAGCAAUUCAACAUGGAAGGAGGGUGGGGAGGCACUGGAUCUGAAAGAUUUCUUAAAGGCUGGAAAGGCGAUGAAUUCUGUUCUCCCCUGGCUGUUUCCCAUGGCACGUCACAGCCUUCACCAUUCGAGCAGUUCUGUCUCUGUAUGUCUUCUAAACAGCCUCAGUAUGAAGGAGGGCUGGUUGAAGGGCAGAAUUGGGAUAAAUCUAGUCUGUAAGUUCAUGUAAUGUCCUGGAAAGACAACACAGUAAUCAAAACAAGCGGUGACAAUCCUUUUGACCAAGAACCUCAACAUAAUCAGUCAUUAGAAAAUGAAGUGGGGAGUAAGGAAUCUUGUUGGUAUUCUCUGGAUAGCAGCACCCUCUGGAGAUCACCGUUUUGGUCCAUGUAAGUAAGAAGAAUGUUGUAAAUAGAAAAAUGUUCUUCAUGACAUCUCAAAUAUAAAAUGGAAGAACGAGGAAAGCAAAUUUGAGUGUUAAGAAUUACAGAUGCUUUGCCACUGUGAACGAAAUAAACGCCUUAAACG